UACGUAGGCAGCGAGCGUUGUUCGGAAUUACUGGGCGUAAAGAGUGUGUAGGCGGUGUUCCCAGUCUGUUGUGAAAUCUCCCGGCUUAACUGGGAGGGUGCAGCGGAAACUAGAAUGCUAGAGGGUGGGAGAGGUAAGCGGAAUUCCUGGUGUAGCGGUGAAAUGCGUUGAUAUCAGGAGGAACACCCAUGGCGAAGGCAGCAAACUGGUCAUCAACUGACGCUGAGGCGCGAAAGCGUGGGUAGCAAACAGG
rnacentral:rRNA from 1 species